rnacentral:rRNA from 1 species
GAUGAACGCUGGCGGCGUGCCUAAUACAUGCAAGUCGAACGAAACUUCUUUAUCACCGAGUGCUUGCACUCACCGAUAAAGAGUUGAGUGGCGAACGGGUGAGUAACACGUGGGCAACCUGCCCAAAAGAGGGGGAUAACACUUGGAAACAGGUGCUAAUACCGCAUAACCAUAGUUACCGCAUGGUAACUAUGUAAAAGGUGGCUAUACUACCGCUUUUGGAUGGGUCCGCGGCGCAUUAGCUAGUUGGUAGGGUAAAGGCUUACCAAGGCAAUGAUGCGUAGCCGAAUUGAGAGGUUGAUCGGCCACAUUGGGACUGAGACACGGCCCAAACUCCUACGGGAGGCAGCAGUAGGGAAUCUUCCACAAUGGGCGAAAGCCUGAUGGAGCAACACCGCGUGGGUGAAGAAGGUCUUCGGAUCGUAAAACCCUGUUGUUAGAGAAGAAAGUGCGUGAGAGUAACUGUUCACGUUUCAACGGUAUCUAACCAGAAAGCCACGGCUAACUACGUG